ACUCCUACGGGAGGCAGCAGUGGGGAAUAUUGCACAAUGGGGGAAACCCUGAUGCAGCCAUGCCGCGUGUGUGAAGAAGGCCUUGGGUUGUAAAGCACUUUCAGUAGGGAGGAAGGUAGUGUAAGUUAAACACCUGCAUUAUUUGACGUUACCUACAGAAGAAGCACCGGCUAACUCCGUGCCAGCAGCCGCGGUAAUACGGAGGGUGCGAGCGUUAAUCGGAAUUACUGGGCGUAAAGCGCAUGCAGGCGGCCUGUUAAGUCAGAUGUGAAAGCCCGGGGUCUUAACCUCGGAAUUGCAUUUGAAACUGGCAGGCUAGAGUCUUGUAGAGGGGUUAGGAAUUUCAGGUGUAGCGGUGAAAUGCGU
rnacentral:rRNA from 1 species